rnacentral:rRNA from 1 species
GGUUCGUAGUGACCUGCGGAGGAUCAUUACUGAAGUGAUUUGGGGAUGUUUGCUGGUCUCUCUUUCUCAAGAGGGGCAAUGUGCWCUCYCCAUAAMAAUUCAUGAUUUCCAUCACACCCCKUGUGCACAUCCURUAGGGCAAAUGCACCCCUAAUGGGGGGGCUGCUGUCCUAUGUAUUCUCUCAUCUCACACAUUUUGAAUGGUGCUCUYGGAUGCAUCUUUGUGGAUUAUUUGUAAAAGUAAUCAUAAACAACAACUUUCAACAAUGGAUCUCUUGGCUCUCGCAUCGAUGAAGAACGCAGCGAAAUGCGAUACGUAAUGUGAAUUGCAGAAUUCCGUGAAUCAUCGAAUCUUUGAACGCACCUUGCGCCUCUUGGUAUUCCGAGGGGCAUGCCUGUUUGAGUGUCAUGAAAUCAUCAAAGGAGACCUUUCUUUGAGAGGCUCUCUUUUGGAAUUUGGAGUGUGCUGGCUUUGUUCAGCUCCUCUGAAAUGCAUUAGCGAUGUGGUGUUCCACCUGCUUGAGCUUCAUUGGCAUUGAUAGUCAUUCAUGUCAGAAUUGUUCAGCUGUGGAAAGGUUCACUUGCUCCUAAUCGAUGUGGCUCUCUUCUGAGCUCCUCAUCCUUGACCCAUAAACCUCAAUCAGGNGAC